rnacentral:rRNA from 1 species
AAAUGAAUUGACGGGGACCCGCACAAGCAGCGGAGCAUGUGGUUUAAUUCGAAGCAACGCGAAGAACCUUACCAGGGCUUGACAUCCUGCUGAAAGCUUGUUUAACUGCAAGCCUUCUUUUAGACAGCAGAGACAGGUGGUGCAUGGUUGUCGUCAGCUCGUGUCGUGAGAUGUUGGGUUAAGUCCCGCAACGAGCGCAACCCUUGCCUUUAGUUGCCAACAGUUAAAGCUGGGGACUCUAAAGGGACCGCCGGGGAUAACUCGGAGGAAGGUGGGGAUGACGUCAAAUCAUCAUGCCCCUUAUGUUCUGGGCUACACACGUGCUACAAUGGCCGGUACACAGAGCAGCAAAGUCGCGAGACGGAGCCAAACUCUAAAGCCGGUCCCAGUUCGGACUGCAGGCUGCAACUCGCCUGCACGAAGCAGGAGUUGCUAGUAAUCGUGAAUCAGCACGUCACGGUGAAUGCGUUCCCGGGUCUUGUACACACCGCCCGU